UGGAGGCUGUGUUCAGCCAUGCUGCUGGCCAUGGUUCACAAGCUGUACAUGAUCCAGAACAUCCAUUUGGGGCUUUUGAGACAGGAAGCAUGAACGGCAGCAUCAGCAGAUGGAGGUAUCUGAUUUCUGCGGCAUCUCUGGAAAUUCAGAAUUGUGUAUUACCUCAACAGAGUAGCAGUUCCCAAGCACAAUGGUACUGAAGGUGCCAUGGGCUGGAAACUUCUGCAGUAAAAUUUUCCAGCAUUCUUCCUGUUGAAGAGUGAUGUUAUCUUUCCAGUCAGCAUAGACGAGGCUGGGUGAAUCAACACUGCAAAGUGUGGUCAACCGCUGGGAUAAGAUUGAGGACAAGACCUCCAGAUCAAGAUCACUAAUUUAGGCCUUGGACUUUGACUUCACUACAGUGAGUAAAAAGUUUUGGGGACAGGGAUCACUGCGUGUGGAGAAACAGAGCUCAGAUCUUUGUACCAGCCCGCAACUGCUUCUGUGACAAAUGCAGCACCUAUGAAGCCUACUCAUCUGUGGAAAGCAAAAAGCUACUAACCAGCACUAAAGGAGAGCAAGGUAACACUCCAGUUCUCCAAGAAUGAACAAAGUAUAAAAGCAAACUCAAGAAUUACUGACAAACCUAAAAUAUAUGAGAAAUAGAGUGAAGAUGGCAUCCAGCUGAUAUAAGAAGGUGAAUUUCAAAACCACCUUUGCACUGAGGAAGAGAAUGGUUUUGAGGAAAAUGCGAGCUCUCCAAAGGGAUUCAAAAGAGAUUGUAUGUAAUAGUGACUGACACAAUUUCAAGUGGCUUGAAGUGAGAAAUAAUAUGAAAAUGGGAAUAUGCAGACAGAAGAUAAUAGAUGUGGCUUUCUGCUUGUGAAGCAACAGGGACAUAAAUUUAUUUUGACAAAAGAAAUUUAGAGAAAGAUGGAAAAGUGUUAAACUUUAGUUAGACUGAGGGAUUAUUGAUAUUAGUACAAUCUUCUGCAGCUGUUUGUGGUAAUUGGAUUUGUUGGCUUUUCAUGUUAGGGCUUCCAUCAAUGGACUUUCUAAUUUGGCCACAAAAUAUGAAUCUAUUUAAACCCUCUACAAAAUUAG